GACGAACCGUGCGAACGUUGUUCGGAAUCACUGGGCUUAAAGGGCGCGUAGGCGGGCUGCCAAGUCCGUAGGUGAAAUCCCCGGCUCAACCGGGGAACGGCCUCGGAUACUGGCGGCCUGGAGGGGGUAGGGCGUGCGGAACUGUGGGUGGAGCGGUGAAAUGCGUUGAGAUCCACAGGAACUCCGGUGGCGAAGGCGGCACGCUGGACCCUUUCUGACGCUGAGGCGCGAAAGCCAGGGGAGCGAACGGG
rnacentral:rRNA from 1 species